UGAAUUCCGAAACAUCUGCCAAAUUCAUUACGUCUGAUACAUUCAAAAUAGAUUCAAUGUACAACCGUAGUCGUUUGUUGAUUUCAUCAAACAAAACAUCCAUUUUUAAAUAUUAUCAAAUGGCUAAAGGUAAAGGAGGAAAGGGUGGCGGAGCUCCAACAGCACCAGCUGGAGAUAAAAAACCCACCAAUAGUAACACGAAGGGCUCGGGUGGUGAUCAGAAGCAGGGAGUAAAGGAAACUACUACCAAAGGGGGCAAAAAAGGAGGGAAAAAAUGACAUUCGAAAAUGGAAUCUGGGGCACUAUCUAGACUCACUGAUGAAGUAACUGUUAGUAAAGUAAUUUUAUAAUGUUACGUAGGCACUGCAUAUUUCUUGAAAAACAAACGUUUGUAUUGGUAUUAUGGGAUUUUGAAAGGAUUUUGUAAUAUCAUAGGCAAUAUUUUAAAAAUGUUCCAUAUUGUGAAAGCGAUUGAUAAAAUGAGUAAAAAAAAUUGAACGCUU